rnacentral:tRNA from 1 species
GAAGGUGUAGCUCAAGUGGUAGAGCUCACGCUUAGCAUGCAGGAGGUCUUGGGUUCAAUCCCCACUACCUCCU